CUUAGGAUCAGCAGUGUUUGAUGUGGUUUUGGAUAACAAUGGGAAGGAUUUGGAUACUGUGAAAUAAAUCAAGAUAAACGUAGCGUUCUGAUCUUCCAACCAGCAAAGUCUGAGAAGAUAAGUAUGAGUUGUUUUUGAAAUUAGAUUUUAUUUUAUUUUAUUUAUAUUUACCGUAAUUAGAAAACAUUUGGUAAAUUAUUGAACACUAAAAAAUUAAAAUAAAUAAAUAAAUAAAUUUUUUAUGAAAGUUGUGGUUUUUUAUGAUUUAUUUUUUAAAAAAUUAUUAUAUUUUUAUUUUUAAAGAUAUUAUUAUUAUUAGGAUCACAAACAUUCUAGCAUUUUUUUAAACUUAUUUAUAUUUUUAUUUGUUUAAAUUUUAUUUAAAAAAAAGCUUACUCAGUUAAGAUUUACACAAACUCAAUUAUGAUUAUAUGUGGUAAGAAAUUAAAAAAAAAACGUUUGAAUAGGUUUAAAAAAUGAGCGUUUGAAAAACAAAUUGGUUUUGAACAAAUAAAAAUGCAAGUUUUAAAAAUGUAAAAAAAUAAUUACUAUCUCCUAUGUAGUCAUUCAAACUGUCUGGAAGGUUAGGAAAGAUGGCAUUGAAGCAGGAACUAAUCUCAUGCCGGACAUGGUUCCAAGACCAAUUGCAAGAAUUGCUGACUUUCAUCGCCGGCGGAGCAAUUGUUCUUUUUGUGUUCCAGUCUUUUCUCCAAUAUAUCUUUCUUAUUCUCCUUCUUCUUUGAUGAUGUUUUUUUGCAUGUCACUAGGAUCAGAAUGUGCAAAACCUGAUAUUCAUUUAUCCAAUAGUGAAGCUCUUUUGAUCUUUUAGUGCUUAGAUGAUUCUUAUAUUUGCAAUUGUUUGAAAUAGGGAGAGCAAGUCAUUGAUGAUAUUAUGGAUAUGGUGGACAGAUAAUCUAAUGGAAGUGAUAGCUUUGAAAGUUUUGUCAAGAAAUUCUUUUUUUAAUGUUUGAUGUGAUUUUGUGGCAGAUUUACUAGCAUUAUUGAGCCAUUGUUAU